CUACGGGUCGCAGCAGUGGGGAAUAUUGGACAAUGGGGGCAACCCUGAUCCAGCAACGCCGCGUGAAUGAAGAAGGCCUUCGGGUUGUAAAGUUCUUUUAUUCGGGAGCAAAAGUUUAGUGUGAAUAGCAUUGAAUGUUGAGAGUACCGAAGGAAUAAGCACCGGCUAACUACGUGCCAGCAGCCGCGGUAAUACGUAGGGUGCGAGCGUUAAUCGGAAUAACUGGGCGUAAAGGGUGCGUAGGCGGAUGUAUAAGUUAGAUGUGAAAAGCCUGGGCUUAACCUGGGUCGUGCAUUUAAGACUGUAUGUCUGGAGUAUGUGAGAGGGGUGUAGAAUUCCAAGUGUAGCAGUGAAAUGCGUAGAGAUUUGGAGGAAUACCGAUGGCGAAGGCAGCACCCUGGCAUAAUACUGACGCUGAGGCACGAAAGCGUGGGUAGCAAACAGGAUUAGAUACCCUUGUAGUC
rnacentral:rRNA from 1 species